rnacentral:rRNA from 2 species
UGGGUAACCUGCCUGUAAGACUGGGAUAACUCCGGGAAACCGGGGCUAAUACCGGAUGGUUGUUUGAACCGCAUGGUUCAGACAUAAAAGGUGGCUUCGGCUACCACUUACAGAUGGACCCGCGGCGCAUUAGCUAGUUGGUGAGGUAACGGCUCACCAAGGCGACGAUGCGUAGCCGACCUGAGAGGGUGAUCGGCCACACUGGGACUGAGACACGGCCCAGACUCCUACGGGAGGCAGCAGUAGGGAAUCUUCCGCAAUGGACGAAAGUCUGACGGAGCAACGCCGCGUGAGUGAUGAAGGUUUUCGGAUCGUAAAGCUCUGUUGUUAGGGAAGAACAAGUGCCGUUCAAAUAGGGCGGCACCUUGACGGUACCUAACCAGAAAGCCACGGCUAACUACGUGCCAGCAGCCGCGGUAAUACGUAGGUGGCAAGCGUUGUCCGGAAUUAUUGGGCGUAAAGGGCUCGCAGGCGGUUUCUUAAGUCUGAUGUGAAAGCCCCCGGCUCAACCGGGGAGGGUCAUUGGAAACUGGGGAACUUGAGU